rnacentral:rRNA from 1 species
AUUGAACGCUGGCGGCAUGCCUUACACAUGCAAGUCGAACGGCAGCACGGGAGCAAUCCUGGUGGCGAGUGGCGAACGGGUGAGUAAUAUAUCGGAACGUGCCCAGUCGUGGGGGAUAACGUAGCGAAAGCUACGCUAAUACCGCAUACGAUCUAUGGAUGAAAGCGGGGGAUCGCAAGACCUCGCGCGAUUGGAGCGGCCGAUAUCAGAUUAGGUAGUUGGUGAGGUAAAGGCUCACCAAGCCGACGAUCUGUAGCUGGUCUGAGAGGACGACCAGCCACACUGGAACUGAGACACGGUCCAGACUCCUACGGGAGGCAGCAGUGGGGAAUAUUGGACAAUGGGCGCAAGCCUGA